UCCACCGCGAGGCGGAAUCUGAAGGAAGCCUGAAGCAAAACUCUGGUCUGACGAACAGAAAUCACAUAUAAGGCUUACUUAAAUCGGGUGAGUUUGCAUGACAAAACGAAGCCCUAUGCUAUCCGAGAUUUAAGGAGUAAAUGUGGCAGAUAGAUGGAGUGAAAGCGGUCGUU
rnacentral:ncRNA from 1 species